rnacentral:rRNA from 1 species
UACGUAGGGGGCAAGCGUUGUCCGGAAUCAUUGGGCGUAAAGCGCGUGUAGGCGGCCAGAUAAGUCCGUUCUGAAAGCCCGGGGCUCAACCCCGGAAUGUCUUUCGAAACUGGCCAGCUGGAGUGCGGAAGAGGCAACUGGAAUUCCCAGUGUAGCGGUGAAAUGCGUAGAUAUUGGGAAGAACACCUGAGGCGAAGGCGGGUUGCUGGGCCGACACUGACGCUGAGGCGCGAAAGCCAGGGGAGCAAACGGG